GACGUAGGGGGCCAGCGUUGCUCGGAAUUACUGGGUGUAAAGGGUUCGUAGGCGGUGUAGCAAGUCGGGAGUGAAAUCUCUGGGCUCAACCCAGGGGCUGCUUCCGAAACUGCUGUGCUAGAGUGUGGGAGAGGCGCGUGGAAUUGCAGGUGUAGCAGUGAAAUGCAUAGAUAUCUGCAGGAACACCCGUGACGAAAGCGGCGCGCUGGACCACAACUGACGCUGAGGCGCGAAAGCUAGGGGAGCAAACAGG
rnacentral:rRNA from 1 species